AAAUAUAUCUCAAACUUUUAAAAUUAUAAAAUACCCACGUAGUGUGGGUGGAUCUCAAACUUGGACAACUUUUUAAAAUACAAAGAACCCACUACGUGGGUUUUCAUAAUUAAAACAUGACCACAACUUUUUUUUUAAAAUACAAAGAACUUAUCGGAAAGGGAUCCAGAGAGAAUUUACGAAAUCUACCAAUUCAGAUCCUUAAAAUUUAAUCUAACAGUUAAAGUUAUUAUAACUUUUAAAAAGAAUCACUCUUUUUAACCGUUGGAUCAAAUUUUAAAAACUCGAAUGGAUAGAUUUGAUGGAAGGGAUCUGAAAAGGAUAGGAUCCCCUUCCUCUUUUAUCAUAUGAUCACCAUAUACGCAAUCUAAUAGAUAAUAUACCAAUAAUUAAUCACUAGUUGGGUCCCGUCAUUCCAUUAUUCUUUACAUUUUUUCCACUAUGGUUUGUUGUUUUCAAUCAUUUCGCUGCGCAUUUUGUGGGUCUCUCCCCUACCCCGAGACCCCAUUUCCUUCUCUCACUCUCUUCUCUGCACUGUCUCUCUCUCUCUUCUCUGCACUGUCUUUCUCUCUCGAAAGUUCGAAACCCUCUUACCUCUCUCCCUCUCUUGCCGUGACCACACACACACACGCAGCAGCACCAUCUGCUCGACUCGAGCAGAUCGAGGACACCACCAUCAUCACACAUCAUCAGUCUUCUCUCUCCCGCCUCUGCGAGAAUGGCGGAGCCCAUAACUCUCCGGCGAGUCUUCUUUGAUUUUCCGGUUAGGUAAUCUCGGAUCUCUCUCUCCGUGUUAGUGUGAAGCUCAAAUUAGUUCGAUCUGCUGCACUGCCCUUCGUUCACCACCGCAGAAAGAACAGACAGGGAGCUUGUACUGCUCUAGGGGACUAUGGCUAAGGUAGCGCAUUCGUCGUCACCGUCGUCGCCAUCACCGCCAUCGCUGUCGGUGGUCAGAGUCUUCCAAAACAUGGACAUGGGUAUCAUUCUGGGUCAUCGGCACCUUCGGUGAUUACAAAACCAGUAUGCGCUUUUGAUAGGGGAAGAAAAGCAAGGAAAGCAUGUCGUAGUAAUAUUGGUGGGUGCGCCUGGAACCGGCAUGUCCACCUUUUGUGAACAUGUCAUGCGCUCCUCCUCCACUCUCCCUUAGGUACACGUUUGCAGGAUACUAUGAAAAAUGAUAAAGCUGAAACGAAAGUGCAUUGUAUAGCAAGAACAAAUGGAUGAGUUUGUGAAGCUUGGUGGUAGUGCCCAGGUUGAUGUUCAUGUUGUGGUGCUUGAUCUUCCCGCCAAGCUUUGUAUUUCAUGGUCUGUGAAGGGAACGGGCCAUGAAGGAAACUUGCAAGGUGGGAAAGCUGCUGCGGUUGUGAAUGGAAUGAUGCAGAAGAAAGAACUGUCUGUCUAAGCUUGGGGAAGGGGGGGGGGUGGUAGUUGGUUAGAAGCGAAGUUGUCUGAUGGAGUUUUUGGGGGGUGGGUAAGGGAAGAGCGCAUAGCUCGAUUUUUAUUUUUUAUGUUUUUUUCCUU